UACGGGGGGGGCAAGCGUUGUUCGGAAUUACUGGGCGUAAAGGGCUCGUAGGCGGCCAACUAAGUCGGACGUGAAAUCCCCAGGCUCAACCUGGGAACUGCGUCUGAUACUGGAUGGCUUGAAUCCGGGAGAGGGAUGCAGAAUUCCAGGUGUAGCGGUGAAAUGCGUAGAUAUCUGGAGGAAUACCGGUGGCGAAGGCGGCAUCCUGGACCGGCAUUGACGCUGAGGAGCGAAAGCGUGGGGAUCAAACAGG
rnacentral:rRNA from 1 species